UACAGAGGGUGCGAGCGUUGUCCGGAAUCACUGGGCGUAAGGGCGCGUAGGUGGCGGCAUAAGGCCGUGGUGAAAGUCUGGGGCUCAACCCCAGAUCGGCCAUGGCGACUGUGUCGCUUGGGCACCGUAGAGGCAGAUGGAAUUCCGGGUGUAGCGGUGGAAUGCGUAGAGAUCCGGAAGAACACCAGUGGCGAAGGCGGUCUGCUGGGCGGUGAGCUCGCAAGGGCUCAAUAGCCGACACUGAGGCGCGACAGCGUGGGGAGCAACAGG
rnacentral:rRNA from 1 species